UACGUAGGGGGCAAGCGCUGUCCGGAAUCAUUGGGCGUAAAGCGCGUGUAGGCGGUCCGGUAAGUCCGCUGUGAAAGUCGGGGGCUCAACCCUCGGAUGCCGGUGGAUACUGUCGGGCUUGAGUACGGAAGAGGCGAGUGGAAUUCCUGGUGUAGCGGUGAAAUGCGCAGAUAUCAGGAGGAACACCAAUUGCGAAGGCAGCUCGCUGGGACGUUACUGACGCUGAGACGCGAAAGCGUGGGGAGCGAACAGG
rnacentral:rRNA from 1 species